AGUGAAAUUGUUGGAUCAUAUGGUAACUCUAUGUUUAACUUUUUGAGGAACCACCAAACUGGUUUCCAAAGUGGCUGUACCAUUUUACAUUCCCACCAGCAAU
rnacentral:pre_miRNA from 1 species